rnacentral:rRNA from 1 species
UACGGGGGGGGCAAGCGUUGUUCGGAAUUACUGGGCGUAAAGGGCUCGUAGGCGGCCAACUAAGUCAUACGUGAAAUCCCUCGGCUUAACCGGGGAACUGCGUCUGAUACUGGAUGGCUUGAGUUCGGGAGAGGGAUGCGGAAUUCUAGGUGUAGCGGUGAAAUUCGUAGAUAUUCGGAAGAACACCAGUGGCGAAGGCGACUUACUGGACACAUACUGACGCUGAGGUGCGAAAGCGUGGGGAGCAAACAGG